rnacentral:sRNA from 1 species
ACACGGGAGAGGAGGUGGUCCAGCGUUGAAUAGCUACAGGACUCGUGAGGUGGCUGUCCGCUAGCACCACGGGACUCGUUUCCGACGGCCAUGUGGAAGCCGGUGUGGUGCCGGCAAAUCCAGGCAGUCACCCGUGAUCCCCGGGUCCGAGCCCGUCCAGCUCGGUCACGCAGCACGCUGCGGCCCGGGGAUCACGCAUGUC